rnacentral:lncRNA from 1 species
CGAGGCCUCCUGUCCUCCCUGAAGGCUCUGGACGGACGGAGCCGACGCAGCCGGGACGCCCGACACCUGUCCGGCCAGGUCUCAGAGAGUCAAAGCGUCACGGCGUCCGUCUGCAGCUCUGAGAGGCUGGACAGUUUACCCAGGAUGCCGCGGGGUGCGGCGCCCCCUGCAGGCGCGUCGUGGCACGGCAGCCUGCAGUCUGCGGUGUGU